AGCACUAUUGAAAAGGAUGGUAGUCGGCAUCUUCCUCACGUGUUAGUUUUUUCUAUUUUUUUUAUCACAUAACAAAUAAAAUAACCUACACAGUACACUUAUUUUUUAUUAUUAUUAACUACAUUCAUAUUGACCAGGCUACCCACGCCCCCGGGCAUAGUACCUCCACUCACCACCCUCCGCUCAAACGACAACUUACGCUCAGG
rnacentral:lncRNA from 1 species